rfam:Salmo salar isolate Sally breed double haploid chromosome ssa11, whole genome shotgun sequence.
AAUGCACCAAUUUGUAAGUCGCUCUGGAUAAGAGCAUCUGCUAAAUGACUUAAG